rnacentral:rRNA from 1 species
CCUACGGGGGGCUGCAGUCGAGAAUCUUCGGCAAUGGGCGAAAGCCUGACCGAGCGACGCCGCGUGCGGGAUGAAGGCCUUCGGGUUGUAAACCGCUGUCGUAGGGGAGGAAGGCUCCGUGAAGAACGGAGUUUGACCGAUCCUAGGAGGAAGGGCCGGCUAAUCUCGUGCCAGCAGCCGCGGUAAUACGAGAGGCCCAAACGUUAUUCGGAUUUACUGGGCUUAAAGAGUCCGUAGGCGGCGCGGAAAGUAGGGUGUGAAAGCCCUCGGCUCAACCGAGGAAUUGCGCUCUAAACUACCGUGCUUGAGGAACCUAGAGGUGAGCGGAACUGAUGGUGGAGCGGUGAAAUGCGUUGAUAUCAUCAGGAACACCGGAGGCGAAGGCGGCUCACUGGGGGUUUUCUGACGCUGAGGGACGAAAGCCAGGGGAGCGAACGGGA